rfam:Bacillus sp. LL01 scaffold7.1, whole genome shotgun sequence.
GAGGACAAGAAGAAGCACCCGCUUCUCACCUGAUUGACGCAGAUCAUGCAGUUGGCAGGUUUUACGAGAAAGAUUCUAUCUUUUACUUAUGUAAUCGUAAAGUGUGGGUGUACAUGUACAUCCACACUUUUUUGUUUGU